rnacentral:lncRNA from 1 species
CCGUCUUACCUCACACCUCCCUCAAGUGCUACCUGGGAUGCAAACCACUCUUCUUUGGCGUUUAUCCUUCUCUGAGGGAAUUCCCACGUGCGUUUGCCUUCCUCUCAAGGCCACUUCCACACUUCUGUUCAAGUGUUUACUGACCACUCUCGACGCUGAUGGACACAGCGCUUAAGUCAAACAGACCUGCCCUUGGCUCAUGGCAUCCAUGCCCAGGGAAGCAAGGCAGGCCAGGGGAUGAAGAUACGGUGAACCCCAUCUCUGCGACCACCCAGAAUAAAGGGGAUACGUCCCAGCCUCCCUUGCAGCGAGGUGUGGCUAAAGAGUGGGUUCUGACCAGCAGGAUGGAAGCAGAAGGGCUAAGUGACAUCACCCUUGAAAGACGGGUGCCACCUGUCCCCUCUUCCCCUUAUGACUUAGGGCUAGCUGGACUGUCGACAUCUUGGCAGAGGCAACCCUGGACUACGAACACAUAUUGAAAAUGUCUGGACAACAGAUGAAGGAGCCUCAGUCUACUAUCCAGUCCCAGGCCGUCCACUUCUCUAUGGAGCUGUAGAAAGAGCUCUCUCUCCUUCUUACUAAUCCGGGAGUCACACUGCGGACUCUGGCUACACCUAACAGCCUUGCCUCGGUAGCCAGAGAGCUCACGUUAGGAACAGACAGCGGGCCUGGGCUCGGCUGUAUACUCUUGGUGUUUUGUUUUUGUUUUUUUUU